GAUGAACGCUGGCGGCGUGCCUAAUACAUGCCAGUCGAGCGAACAGACGAGGAGCUUGCUCCUCUGACGUUAGCGGCGGACGGGUGAGUAACACGUGGAUAACCUACCUAUAAUACUGGGAUAACUUCGGGAAACCGGAGCUAAUACCGGAUAAUAUAUUGAACCGCAUGGUUCAAUAGUGAAAGACGGUUUUGCUGUCACUUAUAGAUGGAUCCGCGCCGCAUUAGCUAGUUGGUAAGGUAACGGCUUACCAAGGCAACGAUGCGUAGCCGACCUGAGAGGGUGAUCGGCCACACUGGAACUGAGACACGGUCCAGACUCCUACGGGAGGCAGCAGUAGGGAAUCUUCCGCAAUGGGCGAAAGCCUGACGGAGCAACGCCGCGUGAGUGAUGAAGGUCUUCGGAUCGUAAAACUCUGUUAUUAGGGAAGAACAAAUGUGGAAGUAACUAUGCACGUCUUGACGGUACCUAAUCAGAAAGCCACGGCUAACUACGUG
rnacentral:rRNA from 1 species